GAGUUUGAUCGUGGCUCAGGAUGAACGCCGGCGGUGUGCCUAAUACAUGCAAGUCGUACGCACUGGCCCAACUGAUUGAUGGUGCUUGCACCUGAUUGACGAUGGAUCACCAGUGAGUGGCGGACGGGUGAGUAACACGUGGGCAACCUGCCCUGGAGCGGGGGAUAACAUCUGGAAACAGGUGCUAAUACCGCAUAAACAACGAAAACCACAUGGUUUUCGUUUCAAAGAUGGUUUCGGCUAUCACUUCAGGAUGGGCCCGCGGUGCAUUAGCUAGUUGGUA
rnacentral:rRNA from 1 species